AUGGCCAGGAUGCAAACAUUGAUGGCAGGAGCUGAAGCAGUCACCUUGGAACUCAGAAAUGGAAGUCACAUGUUGAGAAUGGCAGAGAUACUCUACCAGCUGUAGACUACAUUCCUUUGGACUACUAUGGAAAUUUAAACCACCGGAUGUGGUCUCUGACCCCAUCCCUAGAGAAUGUUACCAUAGAAGACAUUUCCCCAUAUGGUAAACAAAGGAAAACAAGGAACGUGAGGGUAGAAGUUGUUGUGCCCAUGAGAGAGCCUAUAGAGCCGGAGCAUAAUAGAAACAACCAGAGGUGGGUGACGGAAUCAGCAAAGGAAAGCCUCGUGACCUUUCAGCCUUCUCCCUGGCUUGAUAAUGAAAUACAGAAAUAAACCUCCCCGCUUGUACUUUGCAUAUUUUGGUUGUCAUAUUGCUUUUCUAAAUUGAUUGCAUUUGACCUUGAUGAGGGAAUUUACCUUGGUGG